rnacentral:rRNA from 1 species
CCCUUAGAUGUCCUGGGCCGCACGCGCGUUACACUGAUGCAUUCAACGAGCUUAUAACCUUGGCCGAGAGGCCUGGGCAAUCUUGUUAAAGUGCAUCGUGAUAGGGAUAGAUUAUUGAAAUUAUUAAUCUUGAACGAGGAAUUCCUAGUAAACGCAGAUCAUCAAUCUGCAUUGAUUACGUCCCUGCCCUUUGUACACACCGCCCGUCGCACCUACCGAUUGGAUGGUCCGGUGAAGCCUCGGGAUUGUGGUUCUUGCCGCUUUAUUGUGGCGUGACCGCGAGAACUUGUCUAAACCUUAUCAUCUAGAGGAAGGUGAAGUCGUAACA